UACGUAGGGAGCAAGCGUUGUCCGGAAUCAUUGGGCGUAAAGCGCGCGUAGGCGGCCAGAUAAGUCCGGUGUGAAAGUCACAGGCUCAACCUGUGAAUGCCGCUGGAAACUAUCUGGCUAGAGUCCGGAAGGGGCGAGUGGAAUUCCUGGUGUAGCGGUGAAAUGCGCAGAUAUCAGGAGGAACACCUAUGGCGAAGGCAGCUCGCUGGGACGGUACUGACGCUGAGGCGCGAAAGCGUGGGGGAGCGAACAGG
rnacentral:rRNA from 1 species